rnacentral:rRNA from 1 species
UCCUACGGGGGGCAGCAGUCGGGAAUUUUGGGCAAUGGGCGAAAGCCUGACCCAGCAACGCCGCGUGAAGGAUGAAGUCUUUCGGGAUGUAAACUUCGAAAGAAUAGGAAGAAUUAAUGACGGUACUAUUUAUAAGGUCCGGCUAACUACGUGCCAGCAGCCGCGGUAAUACGUAGGGACCAAGCGUUGUUCGGAUUUACUGGGCGUAAAGGGCGCGUAGGCGGCGUGGUAAGUCACUUGUGAAAUCUCUGAGCUUAACUCAGAACUGCCAAGUGAUACUGCUGUGCUAGAGUGCAGAAGGGGCAAUCGGAAUUCUUGGUGUAGCGGUGAAAUGCGUAGAUAUCAAGAGGAACACCUGAGGUGAAGACGGGUUGCUGGGCUGACACUGACGCUGAGGCGCGAAAGCUAGGGGAGCAAACGGGAUUAGAUACCCGAGUAGUCC